rnacentral:lncRNA from 1 species
GAAACUACAGAGAUUUAAGAGAAAGCUGUACAGGGAAGACCCUUCUCAGAGUGACACAGGUACAAAGUGAGUGUCAGGAUUGGGACCCUGUGGUCAGUGAGGCUAAAUGAUGGACAGAACCAGGGAUAUGGGGUGGGUGUACCAUGCUAAGUAUGCAGGCAUCCUUCCCCUGGCACAUGACAUGGCUUCAGUGUGUCUUAGAUAGAGGACUCCAACCGUGGCGCAGAGGAUGAAGUGUGAAGAGAGACAAGGUCUGACAGGAGGCACGAGUCACCUCUGCUGCAGAAAGGAUGAAGAGGAGCUGCAUGAAGCAGCUAUGGAAGUAUCGAUGCCCUUCUAAGACACUAAAGAACCACCAUGUGGAUGGGACCUUGUGGAAUUUAGUCUUCCUAUCUACAAAGGUUAGACUUGGCACCGAUGAUAGGAUAAGGCGGCUGGACUUGAGGAGAGGCGGGGGACAGGAUCAUCUUGAUGAUGCUAAUUUGCUGCCUGAGACUCUUCUGUGAGAAAAAUUUUACACCUAAGCUCAGGCUUACUGGAAGGACUGAUUAGUCGCAUCUGCCACGAAGGAGACACAUGUGCUGCUGCAUUUCUGAUUGCCGUUAGCCAGACCAUCAUUAAGAUUCCGCCCAGGGUCAACCCAUUUUCUGGUCCCCCUUCUGUCUCUCUUAGAAGCUUUCUUUCUCUCAGUAAAUUUUCCUACUGUUAACUGUUACACAAAAUGGCCGCAGGGAGGUCUGUUACUCAAAAUGGCACCCGCUUCUCCUAAAUGGGUCCUUUACUCUCUGGGAAAGUGGAACUGAGCUCGCCAUUCCACC